UCCUUCUUAGCUCAGUUAGUAGAGCAUACCACUAGUAUAAUGACGAUGAUUGAACAUUAGUUACUGCCAAGGUCAACUGUUCAAGUCGGCUAGAAGGAA